GAUGAACGCUGACCGAACGCUUAACACAUGCAAGUCAACUUGAAUUUGGGUUUUUAACUUAGAUUUGGGUGGCGGACGGGUGAGUAACACGUAAAGAACUUGCCUCACAGCUCCGGACAACUUUUAGAAAUGAAUGCUAAUACCUGAUAUUAUGAUUUUAAAGCAUCUCACAGUUAUUAAAGCUAUAACCACUGUGAGAGAGCUUUGCGUCCCAUUACCUAGUUGGAGAGGUAACAGCUCACCACAGCGAUGAUGGGUAGCCGGCCUGAGAGGGUGAACGGCCACCAUGGGACUGAGACACCGCCCUUACUCCCACCGGAGGCAGCAGUGGGGAAUAUUGGACAAUGGACCGAGAGUCUGAUCCAACAAUUCUAUGUGACCCAUGAACUUUUUCCCAAUGUUCCCUGCUGUCGCUUGGGAAGAAACAAAUGACCGUGUCUCAGAAGAAGUAACGGCGUAAAUACGUGCCAGGCAGCCGCGGUAAUACGUAUGUCACUAACGUUAUCCGGAUUUAUUGGGCGUAAAGCACGUCUAGGUGGUUAUGUAAGUCUGAUGUGAUAAUGCAUGGCUCAACUCUGUAUUGCGUUGGAAACUGUAUAACUAUUCUACUGGAGAGGUAAUCCGAACUACUAAUGUAGAGUUUUAUUCGUAGAUCUUUCUACCACUGCCCAUAGGGAAGCCAGCUUACUGGAUAGAUACUGACGCGCAAGCGCGAGAGCGUGGGUAGCAAUCAGG
rnacentral:rRNA from 1 species